UCCCUCAAAGCUCAAUCGGUAAAGAAUCUGCCUGCAAUGCAGGAGACCCAGGUUUGAUUCCUGGGUGGGAA
rnacentral:tRNA from 1 species